AGGGUUCGAUUCUGGCUCAGGAUGAACGCUGACAGAAUGCUUAACACAUGCAAGUCAACUUGAACUUCGGUUUGGGUGGCGGACGGGUGAGUAACGCGUAAAGAACUUGCCUCACAGAUAGGGACAACAUUUGGAAACGAAUGCUAAUACCUGAUAUUAUGAUUUUAGGGCAUCCUAGAAUUAUGAAAGCUAUAUGCGCUGUGAGAGAGCUUUGCGUCCCAUUAGCUAGUUGGAGAGGUAACGGCUCACCAAGGCGAUGAUGGGUAGCCGGCCUGAGAGGGUGAUCGGCCACAAGGGGACUGAGACACGGCCCUU
rnacentral:rRNA from 1 species